AUAACAGUAUGGUCCUAUGGAUUUCAGUACCAAAACUGAUUUUCUACCGUUUUUCUUCCAAGAAAGUUCUGAACAGCUGAAUCCUGGAUCAGCCUAAAUGUUAUUUCACUGGAUUAUUUAAUGAAUAUUACUCUACUGAGUUACCUGGUUACAUGGAUCAGCUGAGAUGUUAUUUCACUGGAUUAUUUAAUUGGGCAUAUAAUUGGAUAAUUCUGUCCUCAACCUGGAAGAUAUGUUUUAUUCCCAACCAUCUAUAAUCCAUUCUCUAUGAAGUUCAGCCUGUCUGCCCAAAUUCCUUUGGAAAUACAUAGUUAGUCAACCAACAUAGAAACAAUCAAACUUGAAGUCCUCAACAUGGAAGAAUUGGUUUGUUCUUAACCAUCUAUAAUCCAUUCUCUAUGAAGUGAAGCCUGGCUGCUGGUCUUCCUUUGGAAAUACACAGUUUGUCAAUCAACAUAGAAACACACAAACUUGAAGGAUUCUCUUGUGAGGGCUUAUGGAAAUGAUCUAUGUCUACUCUUAGAAUGGUGAAAGACUUUCAGAUUAUGCAAAGACUAACAGAAUAUCCUCUCUUGGAACACUGAAACAAGAAAACCAAACUUAAGAAGAUGGAGGAUUUAAGAAGAACAUAGAUAAAUAUGAUUUCCAACCAAUUUAACCAAUACGGUCAUAGACUGUGGUUUACAGGAUGACAAAGAAAGGACUCAGGAUUGUAUCUUUCACUGUCAGACACUGACUAUGGAUAAAGUGUAAUCAUUUAUCAGACUGAGAUCUAGUCAAAUCAAGUAUUGAAAAUAUGAUUUUCUGAUAGCAUGAGCUCUUUAAAAACUAAUUCUCAAUGACCUCAAAGUAUCUGAAAGUGACUUUUAUUUUUACCAAUUCAUAUUGAAGACUGUUGUUAUGUAUGGGAAUUACACAUUUAAACCUUUUAUUUUUCAUCUAAUUUUUACAACCACCUAGAAAUUAACGCAGAUAUCCAGAUGCUGGAUUUAAUGUUAUUAUUUAACUUUCCUGGAAUUGUAAAUAUAUUUUGUUUGUGUAUGUAUCAUGUUUAAUUUUGAAUUUAAAUUGGGUCUCAAUAAGACCCCCAAUAAAGAUGCAAGUGUCCCAUAA